CUUUUCCCCGGGACACACCCUUUUGUAGUGCUCUGACCACCAAGUCUUACAGAGACACUCAAAAUGCAAGUGACUCUUGCCAUGUUAAAAGGCUUGAGAAUCAAUCUUACAACCACAUAUUUGAGCACAGAACACAGAGACACUCACCCACAUGGGAGAUGCCUAGUGAACGCUAAGACAACCGUGAGGCUUAGGCAGCUCCAAGGUCAGUUUGAUGUAAGGUGUUACAAGAACAUACUUUUCUAUCCUUGUUCACAGUCCCUGACACAGUCCCUACUUUCUCAUUACCUUUCAGCUUGCUUCUGCAUACAUUUGGUCCCCACGAACCAGAGGAAACUGUUUUCCAGCUCCCAGACCUCUGUGUGGCCAAAGCUAUCUUAGAGGCCUUCUCAGGGAACAUCCCGUGAAUGGGCCACUCUUUCCUCUUAAAAUCUUCUCCUUCGCCUGGGCCAUGGCAGGUCUCUGAGGGUUUUCCUCCUGCCUUAAAGGCUAUUUCUUCUGUCUCCUUUGCUGGCUCCUGUUGUCUAUAAAAGCUGUGAGUGUUGGCAUUUCCUCAGGACUCAGUCCCUGACCCCCUCCUCUGUCAACACUGUCCCCCUGGGGGUGCUGUUUAUCCAGUCCGAUGGCUUUAACAGGCAUUUAUAUUCCCAUGGCUCCCACAUUUCCCCAGCCCAGACCUCUCUUCUCUUUACUGAUUUUUCCAUUUGGUUGUCACAGGGACACCUCAGAUUUAACACUCCCAAGUAGGACUCUUGAUUUUCCCCAAACCUCGUCCUCCCUCAGCUCAGUCAAUGCCUCCAUCAUCUACCCAACCACACAGGUGAGCUACCUGAGGAUCUUUGAGACCAUCCCUUUCUCUCAGAUCCAGAUCUAAACCAGACACAGUUUCCCUUGAUUUUACCAGUAAACAUAUCCUGCCCCUGCCCCUUCACAUCCUCUCCGUUUUGGCCAUGCGGGCCCACUGCAGACUCUCUCUGCUUCUGCUCUGGCCCCACCCUUUCCAUUCCUCACACCUGAGUGAUCCUUCAAAAUUUAGAUCAGUUCUCCCCCCUAUUUAACACCAUCAAACGGUGUUCACUGACACUUAGAAUAAAGAGUAUACUUUGUCCUUGACCUCAAAAUCCAUAUCCCACCCAGCCCUGCCUAUUCUGCCUCCUUCUCUCACGUAACUCCUCCGCUCACUUACUCUAUUUUAGCUCCAUUGGCCUCUGGACAUUUCCUACUUCAUGCCAACCUCGAGGUUGAUUAAGUUGGCGCAUAAGACACUUCUUACUUUGCUACAUGGGCGCUCCUUUUUCCUCUUAAAAUCUCAACUUAAACAUUUCCUCUUCCGAGAUGCCUUCCCUGGCCACUUCUCAAAAAUCAAUUCUCCCUGUCCUUCUACCACAGGGUCCUGGUGACUCGGAGCUUUCUUAUGACCCUAUUCCUUUGCUUUCUGUCCAGCUCCCUAACAGAAUAUAAGCUCCGUCACCGCAGGGACCGUGUCUGUUUUACUUUCUUUUGCCUGCCAAAUAGCUUAGCACAUAGUAGGUUAAAUGAGGAAGCACUUUUGAGGAGUAUGACUCUCCCCCCCAACACACACACACAAAGUUAAAGGCUGUCAUUGUUUGGAGCGUAAUAGGCCUCCAACAUUGCCAUACGUAGCUAAAUACCAGACGUGAGGGCAUACUGUUAGAUUAUUUUAAAGAACUCCCAUGUUAUAGCUGUAGCUAUGACUGUAGAGAGGACAAUGGAGGUAAGGUCAAAGGGCAGGGCUUGGGUUUCUGAAGAGGCUAAUUCGUAGCUCUGGACUGGGGCGAGUCACUCAUCCUGGAAGCCUGUGUUUUCUCAUUUGCAAAAUGGGACUAUUGCGCCUCCCACAGUGAUGAUUUAAGUGGUUGUCUGUGAGAGCCCUUUGUAAACUGUUACCACCACAACAAUGUGAGCUACAGCACCAAAUAUUCCCUCCUUCUUUGGUGUCUUCUAGGUGCACAUCAUUGAAGAGAAAGGAGCCUCCUUCAAGUUCAACUACAAAGCAGGCUUGUUAAAUUCCAGAAUCUGUGGAGAGGAGAUCCUCACUAAAAGCAGGGCCCCUGAGGCAGCUGACUUCAUUAAAUUGCAAAGGGCACAUCUGCUUCCAUUUUUAAGCACCCCCGGGCCUGGGGUACGAAGAGGGCUGCUUCUUCCCUGCUACAAGAUGGCAGAUCCAUGUGAGUAGAGAGUUUGGAAGAUCUCUUGGAUGUUGGAGCAGUCCUGAAGAGAGUGGGCCAGGUGUUCCGCCACGCUGCUGGAUACCUGUACAGCUCUAUUGGGAACGUUCUGGCCUUGCUUCUCAUGGACACUCACCCCGAUGCUGCUGAUUUCUGAGCCCAGGACGGGC